rnacentral:tRNA from 1 species
GCGCCUGUAGCUCAAAGGAUAGAGCAUUGGAUUCCUAAUCCAAGGGUUGGAUGUUCGAGUCAUCUCAGGCGCA